rnacentral:rRNA from 1 species
UGAUCAAGAACGAAAGUUAGGGGAUCGAAGACGAUCAGAUACCGUCCUAGUCUUAACCAUAAACUAUGCCAACUGGAAAUUGGAAUAUAUGGAGAGAAAAUAUAUUCAGUAUUGUGCCUGAAAAGAGUAAGUGUGUGGGCUCCGGGGGGAGUAUAGUUGCAAGACUGAAACUUAAAGGAAUUGACGGAAGGGCACCACCAGGAGUGGAGCCUGCGGCUUAAUUUGACACAACACGGG